GACGAACGCUGGCGGCGUGCCUAAUACAUGCAAGUCGAGCGGACGAAUCGAAAGCUUGCUUUUGAUUCGUUAGCGGCGGACGGGUGAGUAACACGUGGGCAACCUGCCCUGUAGACGUGGAUAACACCGAGAAAUCGGUGCUAAUACCGGAUAACACGACAUGUCGCAUGACGUUUCGUUUAAAGACGGCGCAAGCUGUCGCUACAGGAUGUGCCCGCGUCGCAUUAGCUAGUUGGUGAGGUAACGGCUCACCAAGGCGACGAUGCGUAGCCGACCUGAGAGGGUGAUCGGCCACACUGGGACUGAGACACGGCCCAGACUCCUACGGGAGGCAGCAGUAGGGAAUCUUCCGCAAUGGACGAAAGUCUGACGGAGCAACGCCGCGUGAGCGAAGAAGGCCUUCGGGUCGUAAAGCUCUGUUGUUAGGGAAGAACAAGUAACGCAGUAACUGGCGUUACCGUGACGGUACCUAACGAGAAAGCCACGGCUAACUACGUG
rnacentral:rRNA from 1 species